GAUGAACGCUGGCGGCGUGCCUAAUACAUGCAAGUCGAGCGAACGGACGAGAAGCUUGCUUCUCUGAUGUUAGCGGCGGACGGGUGAGUAACACGUGGAUAACCUACCUAUAAGGCUGGGAUAACUUCGGGAAACCGGAGCUAAUACCGGAUAAUAUUUUGAACCGCAUGGUUCAAAAGUGAAAGACGGUCUUGCUGUCACUUAUAGAUGGAUCCGCGCUGCAUUAGCUAGUUGGUAAGGUAACGGCUUACCAAGGCAACGAUGCAUAGCCGACCUGAGAGGGUGAUCGGCCACACUGGAACUAAGACACGGUCCAGACUCCUACGGGAGGCAGCAGUAGGGAAUCUUCCGCAAUGGGCGAAAGCCUGACGGAGCAACGCCGCGUGAGUGAUGAAGGUCUUCGGAUCGUAAAACUCUGUUAUUAGGGAAGAACAUAUGUGUAAGUAACUGUGCACAUCUUGACGGUACCUAAUCAGAAAGCCACGGCUAACUACGUG
rnacentral:rRNA from 1 species